rnacentral:lncRNA from 1 species
GAGAGCGGCGGGGCGCCGGCGGCGGAGCGCGUGUGGAGGCGGCAACUUCGCGAAGUGGCACUUCGGGGCGGGCGGCCGGCCCGCCGGGUCACGGCCUGGCGCUGCGGGGAGGGCACCCGAGCGGCUCGGAUGCAGGACGCCGCGGGCCGGGUUUACAGGUCCUGUGGUCUCUGAAUGCUGGACGUCAUGCACUGAAGCCUGGAGGCUCCAGAUCCCGGGUCAGCAAAUUGCAGCGGGGGGUGGCCUCCUGCUUCUGUGAGUGCAGCUUAUUGAAACACAGCCAUGCCCAUUUGUUUACAGAUACUCCGUGCUUGCGUGUGCCCUACAGCAGCACAGUUCAGUAGGCAGAAGCCACUUCUACUACCCGGCUAAGGAAAAAACGGGCAGAUCCUGCUCUGGAUGACGCUGCAUUCCAGCCGGCAGAGAGGGUCCCCCAUUUCCUCGGUAAGGAGACCCCCUCGCUCCAAUCAGGGACUGAGCUGAGCUGAGGACGAGCUGCCCUUUGGGUGAGCCUAUCUCUGGGUUGCUUGUCUCUAGGAACUAAUCCUCCAGGAAAUUAACAGAGAGCUGCUGUUGGAAACUGGAGCCCUCCCCUUCCUCAGCCCUGAGCGAGGUAAACAAUUCUGCUCUGCCUUCCGGAGGUUUCAGAUUAGCUCUUCAACCAGCAUCUUCACACAGCUUCCAGUCCUGCCACCGUCUUGAAGAAGAGAUCAGCUUUCAAGUCUUCAUUCUUGUCAAGAUUAGAUGCCCCUCGAAUCUCCCAUGUGUCAUUAAUCCCAGCACGAACAAGCACUCGGGAACUGUGGGCUGCAGAUGGUCCGCUUAGCCUGCAAAACCCUCCUCUUUUGGGGCUUAACCCCUUUAGUCUUUGUUGCUUCUGCAGCUUUCUGAUGCCAUUAAAAAGAUGAUUUUUAUAUUUUGCCUGGCCUUUCUUUUCUAGUUCUUAGUGGGAGCCUUGAUCUGCUGCACUCCAUCCUACUUGGAAGUAGAAGUCUGUUUUCCCAUGUUUAAAAUGUUAAUUUUAGGCCACGCACGGUGGCUCAUGCCUGUAAUCCUAGUACUUUAGGAGGCCAAAGUGGGAGGAUCACUUGUAAGCUCAGGAGUUCCAGGUGAGCCUAGGAAAAAUAGGGAGACCUCAUCUUAAAGAAAAAAAAAAAUGACACGCACUGAGCAUGGUGGUGCAUGCCUGUAGUCUCACUUACUUGGGAGGCCAGGGCAGGAGGAUCACUUGAGUCCAAGAGUUUGAGGUUACCGUGAGCUAUGGUUGCAUGACUGCACUCUGGCCUGGGCAACAGAGCAAGACCCUAU